rnacentral:rRNA from 1 species
GACGAACGCUGGCGGCGUGCCUAAUACAUGCAAGUCGAACGCAGUGGGGACGGGUGCGUAACACGUGGGUAACCUCCCAUCAGAGGGGAUAACACUUGGAAACAGGUGCUAAACCGAUACUGAAUGAUGGACCCGCGGUGCAUUAGCUCUGUGUGGAGGUAACGGCGCACCAAGGCCACGAUGCAUAGCCGACCUGAGAGGGUGAUCGGCCACACGGGGACUGAGACACGGCCCAGACUCCUACGGGAGGGAGCAGUAGGGAAUCUUCGGCAAUGGACGAAAGUCUGACCGAGCCACGCCGCGUGAGUGAAGAAGGUUUUCGGAUCGUAAAACUCUGUUGUUAGAGAAGCGGUAUCUAACCAGAAAGCCACGGCUAACUACGUGCCAGCAGCCGCGGUAAUUC